AACCCCAAGAUCAAGAGUUGAAUGCUCUACCAACUGAGCCAACCCGGCAGCUUUGGUUGGGAGGGAUUUACCCCUAGGGCAAGGAGCAGUUCUUAGGGUUGAGGGUUUAGAAUAGUGGUUGUCAACUGGGGAUUAUUUUUCCCCACUUCCUUCCCCCAGAGAACAUUUAGCAGUGUCUGAAGACAUUGUGGUUGUUGCAACACAGGGUCGUGCUACAGGCAUCUACUGGGUAGAGGCAAGCGAUACUGUUAAGCAUCCUACAAUCAUAGUAGGAUAAUCCCCACACGACAAAGAAUUACUUCCCCCAAAUGUCAAUAAUGCCAAUGUUGAGAAACUCCGAUUUUGAGAAUGUCUGUCAUUGGAAGAAUCAUCAGGUAAAAGGAAGAGGAACCCAAAUAUAGGAAUAGAGGGAGAUGAAUGGAGAUGAAUACUGGAAGGUAGUUACCAUGGACCAUUAAUUAGGGAAACUGAUAAUGAACCAAUGUGAUUGGCAGUUAACUGUGGUUCUGAAUAUAAAUAAUGGACUCACAUGAAUUCUUACCUAUUUGCUACUUCUAGAUGUGUAAAUAUGAACAAGUUAAAUUUAACUUCUCUUGAGCCUUAGUCUUCUCAUCUCUAAAGUGAGGAUAACCAGAGUACCCUCCCUUACAGAACUGUUGCAUAGACUCAGCUAAACAGUAAAGUGCUUAGUACUUACUGUGUCUUGGUUAUGUAAAUAUAAGUGGUUUUGGUGGGAAGGAUUGCUUUCCUGGGGAGGGGAGGUUAACUUAAUGCUCAGCAGUAGGAACCAGGCUUCUUAUAUUUUAAUUCCAUCCCAAAUGCAGAUCUGUAAGAAAGGACUGAACCCAUGAUAAAUCUCCUAGAACUCCCAAUUUUCCCGUAUUAGGUUAGCUCAUUCACCUCUUACAACAGGACAUUGUCAAGUAGAAUUUAGGGAGGUGGUUUAGGGCUCAUUUUAUCUGCAAACCCUUUUAAGUCUAAGACUUCUUUUGUCAUAGGUCAGUCAGGAGAUCCUAGAGUUAUUAAAUACAACAACAGCCAAGGAACAGUCCAUUGUUGAAAAGUUUCGCUCACGAGGUCGGGCCCAAGUACAAGAGUUCUGUGACUAUGGAACCAAGGAGGAGUGUAUGAAAGCCAGUGAUGCUGACCGGCCCUGCCGCAAGCUGCACUUCAGACGAAUCAUCAAUAAACACACUGAUGAGUCAUUAGGUGACUGCUCUUUCCUUAACACAUGUUUCCACAUGGAUACCUGCAAAUAUGUUCACUAUGAAAUUGAUGCUUGCAUGGAUUCUGAGGCUCCUGGGAGCAAAGACCAUACACCUAGCCAGGAGCUUGCUCUUACACAGAGUGUUGGAGGUGACUCCAGUGCAGAUCGACUCUUCCCUCCUCAGUGGAUCUGUUGUGAUAUCCGCUACCUGGACGUCAGUAUCUUGGGCAAGUUUGCAGUUGUGAUGGCUGACCCACCCUGGGAUAUUCACAUGGAGCUGCCCUAUGGGACCCUGACAGAUGAUGAGAUGCGCAGGCUCAACAUACCAGUACUGCAGGAUGAUGGCUUUCUCUUCCUCUGGGUCACAGGCAGGGCCAUGGAGUUGGGCAGAGAAUGUCUGAACCUCUGGGGUUAUGAACGGGUAGAUGAAAUUAUCUGGGUGAAGACAAAUCAACUGCAGCGCAUCAUUCGGACAGGCCGUACAGGUCACUGGUUGAACCACGGGAAGGAACACUGCUUGGUUGGUGUCAAAGGAAAUCCCCAAGGCUUCAACCAGGGUCUGGAUUGCGAUGUGAUCGUAGCUGAGGUAUGUGCUUCCCCAGGCAUCCAAACCUUCCACAUUAUUCAAGUCAGGUUCGUUCUACCAGUCAUAAACCAGAUGAAAUCUAUGGCAUGAUUGAGAGACUAUCCCCUGGCACUCGCAAGAUUGAGUUAUUUGGACGACCACACAAUGUGCAGCCCAACUGGAUCACCCUUGGAAACCAACUGGAUGGGAUCCACCUACUAGACCCAGAUGUGGUUGCCCGGUUCAAGCAAAGGUAUCCAGAUGGUAUCAUCUCUAAACCUAAAAAUCUGUAGAAGCACUUCCUUACAGAGCUAAGCACCUACAGCCAUGGCUCUGUAGGCUGCACCUGAAGAGUAAUAUUUGUACAAUAGUUUUUCUUCCUUAUUUAAAUAAAAGUUUGUAUUGUAGUUGGGA